CUCCCCCCGCUGACACUUCAAUAAUCCAGGUCCCUACAUCUAGCCCUCCUACUUCUUAUGUUCAAGAACCUAUCUUUUGUCGCUUGUCUCAUAUAAGUCAUCCACCUAAUUGUUAUGAUUUUUCAUCUUUUAUUGUCUACUUGUCUAUAUUAUCGUGUAUUUCUAUUCCUCACUCAUAUUCUCAAGCUGUUAAAGAGGAUUAUUGGAAGC
rnacentral:lncRNA from 1 species